ensembl:misc_RNA Metazoa_SRP Metazoan signal recognition particle RNA
GCUGGGUGUGGUGGUGCGCACCUGUGGUCCCAGCUACUUGGGAGGCUGAAGUGGGAGGAUCGCUUGAGCCCAGAAGGCAGAGAUUGCAGUGAGCCCAGAUGGUGCCACUGCACUCCAGCCUGGGCAACAGAGUGAGACCUCAUUUCAA